rnacentral:rRNA from 1 species
UACGUAGGGUGCGAGCGUUAAUCGGAAUUACUGGGCGUAAAGUGUGCGCAGGCGGUCUCGCAAGUCAGGUGUGAAAGCCCCGGGCUUAACCUGGGAACUGCGCUUGAAACUACGAGACUCGAGUGUGGCAGAGGAAGGUGGAAUUCCACGUGUAGCGGUGAAAUGCGUAGAGAUGUGGAGGAACACCGAUGGCGAAGGCAGCCUUCUGGGCCAACACUGACGCUCAUGCACGAAAGCGUGGGGAGCAAACAGG